AAGCAAACAAGCACUAACAUCCCAGCUUGCUAUUGCAAAGAAUAAAGGAAAGAAAGAAAGAAGAAAAGUAACCAGUUUUCAAAGCAAAUCAUUACAAGCUAAACAGAUCCAGGUCUUUAAGCUGCUCCUCUUAGAACAUGGUCACCACAAUUGGCAAAGGUGGUUCACCUGAGCCAGCUGGAAAGGGCACACUCCUACCUCUGACACAGUGUACGUUCACUUGUUGCUUCAGGGCUACGUAUUCUGUGAGCGAAUGCCCAGCCUUCUCCGGCCAUCUCUGAACUAAUGCCCGGCCUUCCUGCCACAUCUGAAUCCAUCCUAUCUGAUCCUUCCUUGCCUUCAAAGAGAUGUUCUCUUUUGACAAAAGUGGAGCAGCUGGGCCACCAAUAGCUCAUUUCUUUGUUAACCUUUCUUUUGUCUAUGGUGCAACCAAUGCAGAAUUGUACAAACCUAAGUUUUGUUGUGGAAAGCUUUAUUCUGGAUCUAACAAAAUCCCCAGAAUGAAUGUAUGACUUGCAAUUUCAUGAAGUAUGGACAGAUAGCAAAUAAAGUGUUCAGUCAAUGUAA